UACGUAGGGUGCAAGCGUUAAUCGGAAUUACUGGGCGUAAAGCGUGCGCAGGCGGUUAUGCAAGACAGAUGUGAAAUCCCCGGGCUCAACCUGGGAACUGCAUUUGUGACUGCAUAGCUAGAGUGCGGCAGAGGGAGAUGGAAUUCCGCGUGUAGCAGUGAAAUGCGUAGAUAUCGGGAGGAACACCUGUGGCGAAGGCGGCCCCCUGGUCGGAUACUGACGCUGAGACGCGAAAGCGUGGGGAGCAAACAGG
rnacentral:rRNA from 1 species